rnacentral:rRNA from 1 species
ACGGCGAGUGAAGCGGUAACAGCUCAAAUUUGAAAUCUGGCCUCACGGUCCGAGUUGUAAUUUGUAGAGGAUGCUUCGAGCAUGGUCUGGCCUAAGUUCCUUGGAACAGGACGUCAUAGAGGGUGAGAAUCCCGUAUGCGGCCAGGUGCCUACGCUCAUGUGAAGCUCCUUCGACGAGUCGAGUUGUUUGGGAAUGCAGCUCAAAAUGGGUGGUAAAUUUCAUCUAAAGCUAAAUAUUGGCCAGAGACCGAUAGCGCACAAGUAGAGUGAUCGAAAGAUGAAAAGCACUUUGGAAAGAGAGUUAAACAGUACGUGAAAUUGUUGAAAGGGAAGCGCUUGCAACCAGACUUGCGCGCGGCCGAUCAUCCGGUGUUCUCACCGGUGCACUCGGCCGUGCUCAGGCCAGCAUCGGUUUUGGCGGCUGGAUAAAGGCCCUAGGAAUGUAGCUCCUCUCGGGGAGUGUUAUAGCCUAGGGUGCAAUGCAGCCUGCUGGGACCGAGGACCGCGCUUCGGCUAGGAUGCUGGCGUAAUGGUUGUAAGCGGCCCGUCUUGAAACACGG